AAAGAAUAACGAGGAAAGUGUUAUGAAAACAAAUAAUUAAGAAAUCGAUGUUAGUAUAAUACGGCGUUCGAUUUUUGGUUACAUUUCCGUGACGGAGCGAAAAGAGCGGAAAGGAUAAAUUAGGUUAAAAAAUAAUCAACAUACGGGCGACUCACACGCGGACACCGCAGAAUUAGCAAACCAGCGAACGAUCUCGAAAUCGAACGCCGAAGGACGGCGAUUAGCGGAUCGCACAGCAUCAUAAUCCAUCAUGCAGAGACCCACAUAUACGGCGCCGUAUCAACGCAUCGCGUCAUCUGUUGGCGGAUGGAAACGGUACAUUUCUUAUUGCUAAAAAAAGUUCAUUCACCCACCAUAACUCGAAUGGAACAACAGUAUUUGAUAAGCGAGAGCGAAUUCUCAAGUUUGAAGCAUUAAUUUAUUAAAGAUUGUUUUUUUGUAUACAUAUUUUACGUACUACGAGUCGCAGUCGAUGUAUUCAAAUUCUAAAAUAAACAUAAAAAUGCAAUAAAAGCACAAUCAAACGUUAAUAAAAUAAAAAAAAAAUAAUUUUUUAAUCUUCCUGUUUCUCUUAUACAUUCACACCAUUAAAGAAACGUACAAAAAUACAAUAAAUUGAAAUUAUUUUUGAAGUACUACACUAUCUAAGCUUUUCAACGAAAUUUGUAUAAGUGAACCACGCGGAUAUGAAUUUUCUUCUCAUCCAUAUAAGAGACGGUCGCAACUUUCUCUACGCGCUUAAUUAAAUCGCAAAUUGCCGUCCCCACCGGCAGCCAGCCACCAGUCAUUAAUUGCUUGAGUAAUUGUUACGCAGAUGAGACUACUGGUCGAUGGUUUCCUACUGCAGUGACAUGAACUGCACAAUGAUGUUUUGCAACAAAACCACCACACUUCGAGAGAGAAAUGUCCCUUUUUCAAGGUGAAAAUAUUUGCCGAAAAAAAGUUAAUGUUUCAACUUAUUUAAUAUGUUUGUUUGGCUCAAGAAACAAAACCAUAUAAUCCGAUAUCGCUUUAUAACGUGUUGCAUGUGAUGCUUUUUACCGAAGAAAUCGUUUGAUGAAAAGAAGAGAAAAUCGGCACUCAUCACAUGUAUCGUCAUCGUCGUAUCGGCCGAAUGCAGCAGCUGACUAAAAAGAAAACAGGAAAAACGUUUCUUCGGAAAUUUCUUCUCUCCAACUUUCACUUUCCAUCGCUGCCGCUCAUAUCGCUCACUCGCCCCCGGGCAAUGUCCGUCCGCAUGGCCCACGGGGAGGAAAAUCUUGCACCAGAUUACGCGAUCGCACGGGGUGGUGGAGCUGUACCUAACAGCGAACUAUCGCCGCACUAAUGAGUCUCCCCCAACACACGACGAACGAACGAGGAGGAGAGCGGGCUGGAGCAACGAAGAGAAGAAGGAGGCUGCAGCAGUACGCGAGCAACGAGGAUCAACCACAGUGUCUUGUCGCGAGGUCAUUCGUCUCGCCUGGUACACAGGCAGCAGAUCAACGCGAGCAGCGCGGUUACAUCAGUCCCGGCGUUAACCCUCAUACACAUCCGCUGUCCAUCCACACUUUGUCCCACCCCACGAACCGAGGGGGAGGUGGGGUUUAAGUGAAAAUGGGUACGAGCGCAAUGGACGGUUUUGGAUGCAGUAGAAGAAAAAUCUCGCCACCGUCGCGCGUAUAGAUAAGCGCAAGGAGCGCAAACGAUAGUGAAGGGGGCACCACAAAGGGGACAAGACACGCGAGUGCACUGCGAGAGUUCGGGUCGGGGAGAAGAGCUACACGGCCACAGUCGGGCCUUUUUUAUGUGCUGAGGUGCUCGUACGUCGUCGCUUAUGCGUUUGCGUACGUGCCAAACGAUCUUUGGACUCAUCGUACGACUGACUGACUGCUGCUGCUGCUGUUGCUGCUACGAUCAAACGAGCAGAGUCGCGUACGCAAACUGUCUUGUGUGUCGUAUUUUGGCGCGUACAGUACGCGUGAUACGCAUGCACACCAUCGCGUAUGAAGUUACCAACAUUAGCUCCAUGUCCUCUUUUGCUCGUACACGCUACAUUACGCAAU